rnacentral:rRNA from 1 species
AGUGAACGCUGGCGGUAGGCCUAACACAUGCAAGUCGAACGGCAGCACAGUAAGAGCUUGCUCUUACGGGUGGCGAGUGGCGGACGGGUGAGGAAUACAUCGGAAUCUACUUUUUCGUGGGGGAUAACGUAGGGAAACUUACGCUAAUACCGCAUACGACCUACGGGUGAAAGCAGGGGAUCUUCGGACCUUGCGCGAUUGAAUGAGCCGAUGUCGGAUUAGCUAGUUGGCGGGGUAAAGGCCCACCAAGGCGACGAUCCGUAGCUGGUCUGAGAGGAUGAUCAGCCACACUGGAACUGAGACACGGUCCAGACUCCUACGGGAGGCAGCAGUGGGGAAUAUUGGACAAUGGGCGCAAGCCUGAUCCAGCCAUACCGCGUGGGUGAAGAAGGCCUUCGGGUUGUAAAGCCCUUUUGUUGGGAAAGAAAAGCAGCAGGUUAAUACCCCGCUGUUCUGACGGUACCAAAAGAAUAAGCACCGGCUAGCUUCGUG